CGCGCGCGCCUCCUCUCCCCUCCCCUCCCACGCGCCUCCCCUCCUCCCACCCACAUCGCCGCUGCCGCCACCCACCGCCUCGAACCGCGCCGUCGGCAGCCAGAUCCCCGCAGUAGAGCCCCCCUUCCAACGACGACGAGCAGCAGCGGAGGGAGGAUGCGAAGCACGACGGUGGCGGCGGCGGGGAGCAGCAGCGGCAGGCCAAGGUGGCACAAUAGCAGGCCUUGGGCGACGGCGACGAGCGACGAGCACGGCGGCGGCGAGCGCUCCGCCAUCUCCAUCGCCACGGCCCGCCCUCCUGUCCGCAUCUCCCGCGGCUGCUCCUCUGGCAGGAGGAGCAGCCCGACGGCUGCCUCCACAGCAGUAGUGGAAUCACAUCCCGCACGCACCGGAAGGCGACCGGAAGGUGGCGAGCGGCAGCCUCACCAUCGACACACUCGCCGCUGACGCCGGCGGCAACGAAGGGAUCCUGGCCGUCCCCGUCUCCUUCACAUCAAAUCCGUCAAGGUCAAGUGGAUUGCAUCACGGCUGGUGUGCGGAUGGGCACGGAGCCACGAACGCACACCUCUACGGCGACGCUGCCGUCUCGGUGCUCCUCGCCUCCCACUCCGACGACGACAACUUCGACGUGCUCAUACACCUCCUCGCCCUCAUCGCGCAGGCGGUCAAGAACGCGGUGGUGCAGUCGCUUGAGCUGAAGACGCUCGUCCUGUCUACCUCUACCUCUGCCUGUUCCACUAUGCCGAGAGGAGAUGAUGAGGGUUCUGAAUUUGAUCACCAUCAGCAUAGCUAGGCAUGGUAGCUGGAUUGAUCAUUGGAUGAAGAGAGUGGAGAUUUAUGCCUAUUGUGGUUGCAGUUCUGUGAAUCAAAGCGCCAUUCUUAAAUGCUAGAUUAAUUUGGUUGUCUCAUCUGUCACCAGAUUCCAGUUUCUAAUUAGCGGUCAAGGAGUGGAUAACUGCACAACUUUGGAAAUGCAUGAGGUAGUGGCUGUUAAAAACAUACUCCCUCCGUUCCUAAAUAUUUGUCUUUUGGGAAUUUCAAAUGGACUACCACAUACAGAUGUAUAUAGACACAUUUUAGAGCGUAGAUUCAUUCAUUUUGCUCCGUAUGUAGUCACUUGUUGAAACCUCUAGAAAGACAAAUAUUUAGGAACGGAGGGAGUAGAUGACUGUAACAAAUAAUGUGUGAGAACAAGGAGCCAAAAAUAUUGGAAAACAACCAUAAGAUAGAUAGUGGAUUCGGUGAUUUGGUUAUUAUGGAGGUUGAUGGAACUUGGUCUACUAUCGGAAUUCUGAGCCAUAAAGCAUUGGACUUGGACAAGCAACAAACAAUCAAAGACGCGUACGUGACUGCUCCAUGGUUCAUAGCUCUUCCAUGGCAGCAACCAGCGGUCCCAAGGCCAAGGACAAUUGUUGUAAGGAAUGUGUUUCCAUGCACCUGCAUCGACCUUUAGGACUGGUGAGAUAUUUGAAGCUCUACGCUUGUGUGCACUAAAAUGGAGAGCAUCUCCUUUUUUUAAUGGUGUGAUCUUGAUUCUUGGAUCAAACUGAUUCACAAGAUGACGAGCGUGGCAAUCUCGGCGGGCUCGCUAAAGUCGGGGGAAGGAGAGAAACAAUGGGGAAGGGAGCAUAACAUGGAUGUGGGGCAGGAGAGGCCGUGGUCGGAGCGGCAUUGCGUGGGCAUAUUGGGUAUUAUUUGAGCUGAUACUCCAUUUUCUUACAAGAGAUGUGGUCCCGUCGAUGUUGGCUGUCGAAUUUGUGCUGCAGUCCAUGCCCACCACGUCCGAGUCUUCACCCCUUCGUCAUCCAACACGAACAGCAGAACAGAGUAGCAGUCGUGAUUUGCCAGGUUGGAGAACUGACGCAGCUUGCUGCCACAGAGUGCUCGCCCUUCUUCUGUGCCAUAAAGCCCCUCGGCCGAAACUUGCAAAUCAAAAUUGCCGACCCUAUCAAUCUCGCUGGAACGACGUCUAGCUCGUUGUGCUCCACUCACUCUAACGGCAUAUCUCAUAACUAAAGCCAUGAACAAGUGCUUCAGUUAUGCUGGUGGCAAUACAUUGCUUGAGGUGACCUCAUGUGCAAGAUUAUCCCCAUGGAGGGAGCUGGCAUGGAGACAUUUGCUCACAUCAGUACUAUGAGCAGCCUGGUUGGGUGGUGACGUUUCCGAGUGGCCAAGCAAGAGCUUUUUUUGGUCUAGACCUAUGCAGUGGUGACUUCUGCUACAAUGUGCAUCAACACCAGAACCAUGUUCCCGAUCAUGGACGCUGUUGUGUCCCUCACCGGCUCUCUCCUUGCCAUCACCGAGAGGGUUGUGCAGGCCACUACUCGCGCAACUACUUUGCAGUGUGGAGCAUGCCAUCGAGAUAGACCAAAAGAAGAACAUCGCCGACAACAACACCAACGGGGGCCUCCUUGGUUGCCACCACCGCCGCUGCCGUCGUCGCCCUCCCUGCCACCCCACACCACACUGCCAGAUAGGUAUGUGUGCUUUUCCCUUGCCCCCUGCUUAUUGCACUCUUGCCUAUAUGUAAUCUCCUAUUCUGUUGUAAAAUUCUUUUUGCUUAUGAUUUCUUAUUGUAGUGUGAAAUUUUAAUUGCUUGGGUUGUUACUGCUAUGAAAAUAUAUUGCUAUAUUUAGGUUUGUUACUUUAGUCUCUCUUCCUCCCUUGUUUUAUACUGGUAUGAAAUUCUAUUUUGCUGCAAGAUCAAAGAGAUUCUUUUUGAACACAAUCUGUGUCGUGAGGACUGAAUUACGUGUAUCUAUGAUAUCUUUUAAUUUUGGUCA